UCCCCAGACUCCUACGGGAGGCAGCAGUGGGGAAUAUUGCACAAUGGGGGGAACCCUGAUGCAGCGACGCCGCGUGGGUGAAGGAGUAUUUCGGUCUGUAAAGCUCUAUCAGCAGGGAAGAAAAUGACGGUACCUGACUAAGAAGCCCCGGCUAACUACGUGCCAGCAGCCGCGGUAAUACGUAGGGGGCAAGCGUUAUCCGGAUUUACUAGGUGUAAAGGGAGCGUAGACGGCGGCGCAAGCCAGAUGUGAAAGCCCGGGGCUCAACCCCGGGACUGCAUUUGGAACUGUGCCGCUAGAGUGUCGGAGAGGCAGGCGGAAUUCCUAGUGUAGCGGUGAAAUGCGUAGAUAUUAGGAGGAACACCAGUGGCGAAGGCGGCUUACUGGACUGUAACUGACGUUGAGGCUCGAAAGCGUGGGGAGCAAACAGGAUUAGAUACCCUAGUAGA
rnacentral:rRNA from 1 species